rnacentral:misc_RNA from 1 species
AACCAUUCUCACCUGCGGCUAGACCUGCGGAGGGAUCAUUACGAGAGUGUCACCACUCCCAACCCAUUGUUUACCUACCCGUCCACCGUGCUUCGGCAGGCAGCCCUGUGGGACAGAGCCUCGCCCCCUUUCGCGGGGGGUGCCUGCCGCUUGCCAACCAAAACUCUAGCUGUUUUAGUACCAUCUGAGUCUUCCACAAAUGAACAAAACUUUUAACAACGGAUCUCAGAUCGGAAGAGC